GGUAUGGUUACCUGUGAAUGAUGAUGUACCCUGUGAGAUGACUGCGCUGCUGCUGGCAGUACCGUCACGACGCACACGCACCUGUGAAUGAUGAUGUACCCUGUGAGAUGACUGCGCUGCUGCUGGCAGUACCGUCACGACGCACACGCACCUGUGAAUGAAGGUGAAUGAGAAUGCUGAGGAAAUACUAUACGUCAAAUGUCCGGGUCGAAGCGACCGCGAUUGUAGAUGCUCAGUCGGAGAAUUUUCACGUGAUUUCCUCUCCAGCACGUCACUUUGUUGGAAAAUUGCUUAGAUUUUUCCUUUCAUUCUCUUAUGUUCCACGUGGAACUUGGAAAAGUUCAAUUUGUCCACGCGGGAAUUGUGGAAGAGUUUGGCGGCAAUUUUUUGUGGAAAAAGGAAUAAAUUGCUGUCACUUGUUUCACACAAAUUUUAAUUUAUUUCUCAACUUAAAUUUUAUUAUAAAAUCAAAUAAUUAACAAUUUAUUUCAGAGAUAAUUCAAGGCGGCAAUGAGCCGUACAAGUUAUGUAAGAGUUGAGAGCAAAGUGAGAAUUGAGUAACAAGUGAGUCCCGUUUCAAUACCGACCACUAUUUAUAAGCUGGCGCUGGGGAGCCGUGGCGGGCGUUGAUUGGACAGUUGGGGGUUUCGAUGAUCUCAUCGAGUUAACACUUACAUGAUAAAAUUAAUUUUAUAGUAAAUUUGAGAAAUUGGGUUUUUUAGAAAAUCAUGUAGUGCGGUCAUAGACAUUCUCCCCCGGGAUUGAAGCCGGUGGGAUUCAAUUGGGCGAAGGCGGAAGUCCUUCCAAUGAAGAUCGGGAAAUUGACAGUUGUGGAUUGGAAAGUGCCAUUUUGACUGUUGGGUUUCCGUAGCGUGUGACUUGCGUCUCGUCCGGGUGUGGGUCGAAUUUCGACCGAGUGACCAGUGGAGUGUAGGAAUAGUUUCAUCGUGGAUGAGGAUUGUCUUCUUGGUCAUCAGGUUGGAGCGAUUUGCUGACCAUUUGUUGUAUCUUGGAGAACUUACGAGAUUUUUCAUUUUGUAUCUUUCAGCCAAAGGUUUCCAUGGCUGAUGACCUUGAUGCCACAUGGUUGAUUUCAGUGGAGGCCAAUGAAUUCUCAAGGAACCGGAUUGUUUCAGCCUAGAUUGGAUUGAGAGGUAGUGUCCAUGAGCCAAGAACUCUAGGGCGCGUAGAUUCUCAAAGGUAAGGUUUGAUUUUUCCUUAUACUUCCUCCAAUGGUACUUGAAUGAUUCGAUUGUGGUUUCCCAAAGGCCUUUGUGAUGCGAUGACCUUGAUAGUUGGAGGUGUGAGAUACUACGGAAGUGAGUGGCAGCCAUGAUGACAGCCAUGAAAAUACGAUUCCUCAAAGAAUGAUGGAUCAGGUAAGGUUUUGGUGCGUUUCCAAAUCGUCCUCCCACACAUAAAUUGGAUUUUUCAUUACAUGGUGCGAAUAUGCGUAUGCGUUGAGCGAAGAAUGGUGCGCUUAUGGAUGAGUGUGGAAGGUUCCUUCCGGUAGUAAUCGCCCCUUGUAGCAUAGCUUCGCGUAUCUCCCCCAAAUGCUUCUUUUGAUCCCACCAUCGAACAGUGGUCUCUAUGGGGAGGUUAGUUUGAGGAAGCAGAGGAUUUUGUAUGGGAAAGGAGAUUUUCUUACGCCGGUUGGGAUAGAGGAGUGAUAUAGCAAUGACGCGAAGUCGUUCAGCACAAUCUGAAGACUCUUUGAUGCUUCGUGAUAUCAAUAGCUGUUCUGAGUGAAGCUCAGAAAUAUUUAAUCCACAGACGGUUUCUGUCACGAUAUUUGUCAAAUGAACGUCUGGGAUUUGGCAAAGAAUUAAGGGCCGUUGCUCAAUUACUUGUAAUGAAAAGGGCCCAAACCAUAAGAGAUCCAGGGUUUCAAGAGAGCGAGGAUAGGAUUGACGUGUGGCAAUAAUUGCCGGUUUUGUAGGGAUUGCUUGUUGCCAUGUGAGUUUUGUGUUCGGAGUUUUGGGAAAGAGUUUGAACGAUAACUCAAGGGAACGAGGAGGGAUGAAAUAUCUAUUGAUCAAUGUAUGAAACUGAGGUACAUUCUUAAUUGCAAAGAGAUACAGAUGGUCAAGAGGGGGCCAGAGUAGAACAGGGUAGGUUCGUAGAAUGAUGUCCGAUAGAAAUUUCAGACAGAAUUUGUAUGUUGAAUAAUCCGUUGAAAUGUUCCCUUUCAUUUCUAGAAUCCUGGUUCUAACGUCCGGAUGAGAACAAUGAUUGUCCUGAAUGCCUUGGGUGGUGGAGAGUUUUUGCUGUGAUUGCUGAGCUUCUUCGCAAGAUGAAAAGGAAGCUAGCUGAUCAUCGACUUGGAAGCCAUCCAGUGGAGGUUUGGUUGCCAAAGGAAAACGUUCGCAUUUGUCUGCAGCAAGUGUUUGAAGGCGGAAGUGUUGUACCUCAUCAUCUCCGAUGCGAAACCGACCGUUAGCAAUGUGCAAGAGACUCAGGUCCAAAUUCUUGCUUGAGAUGUCGAAGUAUGUCGUCUUGAAUUCCGGAUUGUGGUGUGGCUUCUGCUUUGGGCGAAACGAUUGUAAUGCAAUUUUAAGUUGAGAUGGUGAGAUGGAGCCGGAAAAUGGUGAUUGCAGUGUUGCUUGCAGAUCAAUAGGUGCUGUGGCACGAUUGGCCUGGCGUCUUGAAGCUCGAUGACCGGAUGAUAGUAGAUGGCCAGGAGUCGAGACGUCGUUUUUCUCUCGAAGGACCAGAUGUUGGCGGUAUGGUUACCUGUGAAUGAUGAUGUACCCUGUGAGAUGACUGCGCUGCUGCUGGCAGUACCGUCACGACGCACACGCACCUGUGAAUGAUGAUGUACCCUGUGAGAUGACUGCGCUGCUGCUGGCAGUACCGUCACGACGCACACGCACCUGUGAAUGAAGGUGAAUGAGAAUGCUGAGGAAAUACUAUACGUCAAAUAUCCGGCUCGAAGGACCAGAUGUUGGCGGUAUGGUUACCUGUGAAUGAUGAUGUACCCUGUGAGAUGACUGCGCUGCUGCUGGCAGUACCGUCACGACGCACACGCACCUGUGAAUGAUGAUGUACCCUGUGAGAUGACUGCGCUGCUGCUGGCAGUACCGUCACGACGCACACGCACCUGUGAAUGAAGGUGAAUGAGAAUGCUGAGGAAAUACUAUACGUCAAAUGUCCGGGUCGAAGCGACCGCGAUUGUAGAUGCUCAGUCGGAGAAUUUUCACGUGAUUUCCUCUCCAGCACGUCACUUUGUUGGAAAAUUGCUUAGAUUUUUCCUUUCAUUCUCUUAUGUUCCACGUGGAACUUGGAAAAGUUCAAUUUGUCCACGCGGGAAUUGUGGAAGAGUUUGGCGGCAAUUUUUUGUGGAAAAAGGAAUAAAUUGCUGUCACUUGUUUCACACAAA